GAUUUACAUAGAAAUGACAGAUUUCAAAGUAGUGAAUAAGUUGACCUUUCAUGAAGAAGAGAAGGCUGAGAGGGUUACCAAAUCUCGUGCUAACAAAUCCGAUAGAGUUCUUAUUUGAUUUAACUAUUCUUAACCUUAUAUCUAAAAAAAAAAUGCCUGGUGUUAAUAUAAUAAUGUGCAAUUAUGGACAAUGUGCAAUGGUGGAAGAUAUUUGACAAUUGUACUAGAUUGUCACGACUAAUAGUUUGGUUGCAAUGGAGAGAGACCGGCAGCGUGAGCGUUUGGAGAGUGCAUGUAAUAAAUGAUGCAGAACAUGAUAACACAUAUGAUGCAGGGUACAAAGUUUACGGCCUGAGCUCUAAAUGCUACUCAUUAUGAUGAUGCUAGAUAUACAAAUGGUUAUGACAUUAUUGAUGAUGAUUAGCUUGUUUUGUUAUUCUUAUGAUAUUUUAUUUUUUCAUAC
rnacentral:misc_RNA from 1 species